rnacentral:lncRNA from 1 species
CGCGAUUCCCACCUCAAUCGGACGCGAUUUCUUUCCAUUUCCUUCUCCACUUGCUCCCCUUCUCCUCUUGCAUCCUCGCCACCCUCGAUUUCGGCGACAAUAGGAGAAAACCGAGGUGGGCGACAGUAGGAGAAGAGCAAAGAAGGCGAAGGCGAGGCGGCGGAGGACUGCGAAGGGGAUGUGGGUGAGGGCGAGGCAGUGGAGGACGGCGAGGCGGUGAGGCGGCGAGGCGGCGACGAGGUGGCGAGCCGGAGGGAGGCGAAGCAACAGGGAGAUGGCGGAGGGGUAUUUUCGGCAUAAAAAUACAUUUUUUAACGUAACCCUAACGGUAGGGGGUGAAAUGCAUAUUUUUUAUUUUAUAGGGGGGCAAAGUGUAGGUUUUUAAAUGUCAGGGAGGGAAAGUAAAAAAGCGGGUUAUUACAAGGGGGUUUUCUGUAAUUUAGCCUAAAUUUUAUUCUAUUUUAAAACAAUAAACAUUGGAUUUUUACCACAUAUAAAAGUUUCUUCUGAGAAGGGAUACAGUAAUAUUGCUAUUAAAGAAAAAAUAGUUACAGCAAUUAUCCUUCAGUCCCUGUUUGGUUUCAAGAUAA